UCAAAGGAAGACGGGGAGGUAAGGUUACAACUAUCACUAGCCAUCGGAUGGAGAGGAACCGGAAGCAGGGGACGUGGCUGCGGCUUCUUCUUCCUCUCUUGUUUCUCCUUUUCUUUUUUUUUCUUUUUUUUCUUUUUUUUUUCUUUUUUUUUUGAACGAGAUGGGGCAGCGAGGAGGUCGAGUGGUGGUCAAAGGUCGUUGGCCGGGGAGAAGUAGCGACGGUGGUCGAGCGACCGGGGAAAUAGAGACAAUGGUGGAGAAAGAGUUACCUUGUAGUGGUGGUGGGGAAGAAGGGAAGCAAGGCUGCAGGGGGCUGCACCAAGGAUCAUUGCACUAAGGUCGCUGCAUGGUGGCUGGCAGCGGUGGUGGGUCGGUUGGAAGGUGACGACGCUUGAGGCGUGGCUGCGAUCGACAAGGGGC
rnacentral:lncRNA from 1 species